UACGUAGGGUGCAAGCGUUACUCGGAAUUACUGGGCGUAAAGCGUGCGCAGGCGGUUUUGUAAGUCUGUCGUGAAAUCCCCGGGCUCAACCUGGGAAUUGCGAUGGAGACUGCAAGGCUAGAAUCUGGCAGAGGGGGGUAGAAUUCCACGUGUAGCAGUGAAAUGCGUAGAGAUGUGGAGGAACACCGAUGGCGAAGGCAGCCCCGUGGGUCAAGAUUGACGCUCAUGCACGAAAGCGUGGGGAGCAAACAGG
rnacentral:rRNA from 1 species